rnacentral:rRNA from 1 species
CCUCAAAGACCGGAAUAACCUGCCGAAAGGCUGGCUAAUACCGGAUAAGCCUACGAGCUCCUCGGAGCUUGUAGGAAAAGGUGGCCUCUGUAUACAAGCUAUCACUUUGAGAUGAGCCCGCGGCCCAUCAGCUAGUUGGCGGGGUAAUGGCCCACCAAGGCAACGACGGGUAGCUGGUCUGAGAGGACGAUCAGCCACACUGGAACUGAGACACGGUCCAG